UUGCGCUGGGACAGGGUGACUAGGGAGCGGGCAGGGCUUUCAGGAGCAGGAAUUCCUCGUUGGAGAGAGGUUGGAGAGUGGGGGCCUAUAGGCAGGAGUGCUGGGGCAGGCUCCAGGAGCAGGUCCCGAGCUUCCCAGAGGAGCCCGGCACACAGGAGAAUGCAGAAUCAGCUGCAACAGAGCUGCAAAGGCUAAAGGAGGGCCAGGAGCCAAAGGACCAUUGCAUGCCUGACAAAGUCGAUAAGUCAUCUCGUUAUCUCAAGGCAGAUACUGACCUCAGACAAAUAAUCUUUGGGACUCUUGGUGUUUGUUUCUGGUUCCAUCAACUCUGAGCUACUUGCCAGCUUGUGAAUGUCCAUCCUUGACCAUGAGGCAGCAGAAGGAGGAAAUGUGGCCAUUUUAGUGCUUUUCCUUCAGGUCUCACUCGACCAUCACUUCCUGGGAGAGGCCCCUUGACCACCUGCUAAGACAGGCCAGUGAAUCUUUGUCUACCUUGGCCGUGAGCCAGAAGCUCUCUGAGGGCAGGUACAGUAUCUAACUUGCUCAACCUUGAGUCCCUGCACCUGCAUAGCACCAGGAAAAUGCAUGUGUGCUGAAUGACUGAAUAAAAAAA